CGGAUUGUAGUCUGCAACUCGACUACAUGAAGCUGGAAUCGCUAGUAAUCGCGGAUCAGAAUGCCGCGGUGAAUACGUUCCCGGGUCUUGUACACACCGCCCGUCACACCAUGGGAGUCGGGAAUGCCCGAAGCCAGUGACCCAAGCGAGAGCAGGGAGCUGUCGAAGGCAGGCCGGAUAACUGGGGUGAAGUCGUAACAAGGUAGC
rnacentral:rRNA from 1 species